GACGAACGCUGGCGGCGUGCUUAACACAUGCAAGUCGAACGAUGAACCCGGAGCUUGCUCUGGGGGAUUAGUGGCGAACGGGUGAGUAACACGUGAGUAACCUGCCCUGGACUCUGGGAUAAGCGUUGGAAACGACGUCUAAUACCGGAUAGGACCUUGGAUCGCAUGAUCUGGGGUGGAAAGUUUUUUCGGUCUGGGAUGGACUCGCGGCCUAUCAGCUUGUUGGUGAGGUAAUGGCUCACCAAGGCGUCGACGGGUAGCCGGCCUGAGAGGGUGACCGGCCACACUGGGACUGAGACACGGACCAGACUCCUGCGGGAGGCAGCAGUGGGGAAUAUUGCACAAUGGGCGAAAGCCUGAUGCAGCAACGCCGCGUGCGGGAUGACGGCCUUCGGGUUGUAAACCGCUUUUAGUAGGGAAGAAGGGCUUCGGCUUGACGGUACCUGCAGAAAAAGGACCGGCUAACUACGUG
rnacentral:rRNA from 1 species